CCGAGAAGCCCUGGGAAUUGGGGGCCACGGGUCCUCCGGAGGCGCUGCCGUAUUCCCUGCCCGUCUUCCCCAGGUCGGCAGCAUCUCUUCCGGACCCGGACUCGGUACCACUUGGCUCGCGUCUCAGCACCCCGAGGUUGGUGGGUCUGAGGGGUCUUGGCCGAGUCGGGUGCCGGGUGAUCUGGUGAGGACGCUGAGGUCUGACCGAGGCGAGCCGAGCUGCCACACAGGUGCUUGUGCAGUGGGAAUCUUGAGUCUGACCUUUGAUGGGUUGCCAGCUAGAGGGAGACAUGCUUUCCAGGCUUUGCUCCUGCAUCGCUAAUCUUCACCACAGAAUGGGCAGGGUUAGACUCACGGAAGACUGUGCAGAAGGAAGUUAAAAGACAGGUGCAGACUGAUGCUAGUUCCAGUGAAGUAGUGAUCAGUGGAAUUUGAAAGAAAGCAGUCCAUGUGUGGCUCAACUAGGUCCUGUGCUUGGGAGUUGCAUCACAUGUUGGUCAGGGCUGCAGUCUCAUUGAACCACAGAAAGAGCUGCUUCCAAGAUUUCUUAUAUUGAUAGUGGAAUUUAUCUCCUUGUGGCACUCUCUGCUCUUAGAAGCUGCCUUUGCCAGGAGAGAACAGAUCGAAGGACCACUACAGAUCCAUGGUGCUGUCUGUGGCCCAGAGACUAUGGGAUGCUCUGUAGGAGGACAAGGGCCCUUUGGACACAGGAGACUCUCUUCGUACUGUGCAGGACCCAUUUUAUCUAAUAUCUCAACUCUGGCAGCUCAGUUCAAAUUUCCCUACUCUCCUCUCCACCACCACUCAGGAGAAGAAAGAAGACAACCAAAAGCAUUUAAAUAUAGAAGAACUCAACCCUUACAUAAGAUGUAAUCCCACCAGAACAAGUUUCACAGCUGUUGGCAAAAUGCCUGAAAUCACUGCAACAGGACUGACCAUUCAAAAAGGGAGGAAUUGCUUCCUGCAAGUGGCCAAGCUCUUUUAUGCAGCUUGUAGGUUUUCUAGAGCAAAACUUAGAUUAAAAUCCAUCAUACAUAUUUUUAGCCUGGGUGUUGGAUAUAUUUACAUAUAUUGUGUCAUUAUUUCUUCCAGGAAUACUAAAUAUAAUAAUAUGUAAGUGUUAUAGAGGCAGUGAUAGGCAAAUGAAUUGAAAUAAUCUCUAACAAGCAGC
rnacentral:lncRNA from 1 species